GUUCGAUUGAUAAUCAAGUCAAAUUUAAAUUUGAUUUUUUUUAUUUUUAUUUUUAUAUAUUUUUUUGUGAAGCUCAAUCAAUCUAAAGUCAAAUUUCAAAUCAAAAAAAUUUAAAUCGAGUCAAAUCUGAGCCUCUAACAACUCGACUUGGCCCGAUUGUAACCCCACUUGCCACUUCAAAUGAUGCUUUACCUGUUUCUUCAGGGCACUGGGGUGUCUUUGGCCCCACCGGGCCCUCAUUUCUUGUUCCAGUUACACUCAAGUAUUGUGAUGCAGAUGUCACUUACAUGAUCAUGAUGGCGUGUUGUGCGUGCAUGAUUAAUGCAUCGUUGCAGAUCCUUUACUUAAGUAUGUCUGUCAUACCCACUCCAUAGGUUAACCAUACCUUUGGGGGAGGGAACCAGCCAGCCGAUGGGCUAGGGAUUGAUGCUUCUUGAUGGAAAUAACCUUCCCCUCAACUACAAUAUCUAGAAUAUCUUGUGCAGGCUAAUGCCUUCUCAUAAACUAAUGAAUUUGAGGCUCACCUCCCUUUGAGGGUAAAACAG
rnacentral:lncRNA from 1 species